AUUGAAUUGAAUUCUUGUAAAAUUUUAGUUUCCAAACACGGGGAAAGUGGCAAGUCAAUCACCAUUUAAGGACAAAUAUUUACUUUCUGGAAGAAGCAAGGAAAGUUGCAAAAAUAAUUACCAAAAAAUGCUCAAUAAAAAAAGGCAUUUUUGACACUGUUUUUCUCCUCAUAUGCUAGAACCAAACAAAGCAUGGAUAACUAAUAUAAGAAAAAUAGAAUGAGAACAAGUUUGAAAAGGAGCGAUGAAACAUUAAGAUUAAAAAUGAAGGUACAUUAUACUUGACCCUUGUUUGUGUAAACUCCAUAUAUAUAUUUAUUUUCUUCUUACAUUGGUUUACACAAUUAAGACUUGGAUAUUGGAAACAUGGUUUAAGGUUUCACACAAUUUCUUAAUAGUACAAGGAUAUUUCAUGAUAUCAGUUUAGCAUCUAAUUCAGUUCAAAUCAGAUGAUAUGAUAGAAUGACAUAGAACUUUAACAAUAGAAGAAGCAAAAACAAGCAAAGAGGAAGCAAUGAUUAUGAUUGGAGGAACAUUGGUUUAUAAAUUUGGAAUUCCCAGGGUGUUCAUCAAUAAAAAUGGGAAGCAGCUGGAUGAUUCAAAUUACUAAUUUUUUCCUUUGCUCACCCCUAAUCUCAGUGCAACUUGGAGCACAUCAUCAAGGGAAAAGAGAUAAAACAGCAUAUGUAGACACAAAACAAUGCCUACUUGCUCAAGCUAAGAAGUACGAUAUGUGUGUAUUCAUCAACGAAAUCUAACCUAAUAACAUAUAUACAUAAAGAGACUAUUUGAUCAAUCAAACUUACAAAAUUAGGACUUGCUCAGUCCUGCAACUGCUUUGGCCAAAUUGACUGUGGGCCAAAAAACCAUUACCCCAAUUAUAGGUAUUAAACAUUUUAAAUGGACUGGAGUUGCAUAUGGCUACCGAGUGUAUGUAUCUAAGCAGGCAGCAACUUCCAACUUACUAGACUCAAUUUGAGACAGUAUCAAAAUAAAUAAAUAAAUAAAUA
rnacentral:misc_RNA from 1 species